AUGUUCUCUGUAGCUCUGCUGCUGCUGCUGGCUGCUGGAUCCUGUGUGAAGUGUGAACAGCUGACACAGCCAGCCUCUGUGACUGUGCAGCCAGGUCAACGUCUGACCAUCAGCUGUCAGGUUUCUUAUUCUAUGAGCAGCUAUGCAACUGACUGGAUCAGACAGGCUGCAGGGAAAGGACUGGAGUGGAUUGGGGGGAAAUAUACUGGAGGUUCAGCGUACAAAGACUCACUGAAGAACAAGUUCAGUAUAGACUUAGACACUUCCAGUAAAACAGUGACUCUAAAUGGACAGAAUAUGCAGCCUGAAGACUCUGCUGUGUAUUACUGUGCCAGAAACGACCACAGUGACACAAACCAGCAGCACAGCUGCACAAAAACCCCUCAUAGCCUGAACAGGUUAUAUGAAACCACCAGAGGAGGUGUUCCAACACAAUUCAUUGUUGAACUCCACCAGAUGAAGAGAAACUCCCCUCAGAUCACCUUCAGCACCAACAUGUUCUCUGUAGCUCUGCUGCUGCUAGUAGCUGGAUCCUAUGAGUCUGACUGA